rnacentral:rRNA from 1 species
AUCGAUGAAGAACGCAGCGAAAUGCGAUAAGUAAUGUGAAUUGCAGAAUUCAGUGAAUCAUCGAAUCUUUGAACGCACCUUGCGCUCCCUGGUAUUCCGGGGAGCACGCCUGUUCGAGUGUCAUGAAACUCUCAAUCCGAAUGGUUUAAUCGCCUAUUCUGGAUUGGAUUUGAACCCUGCCGUGCCUACGCUCGGCUGGUUCUAAAAGUAUUAGCUGGUCCUUGAAACUCUUGGUUCUACUCGGCGUGAUAAUUAUCUGACGUUGAGGACAUCUCUUUUACUAGAGGUGGCCAGGAUUCUCUAUGGAUUGCUUUCGAAUCGUCUUUCAAACAGACAAUCUAUUUCAAUAUCUGACCUCGAAUCAGGCGGGACUACCCGCUGAACUUAAGCAUAUCAAUAAGCGGAGGAAAAGAAACUAACAAGGAUUCCCCUAGUAACGGCGAGUGAAGCGGGAUGAGCUCAAAUUUAAAAUCUGGUGGUCUUCGGCCAUCCGAGUUGUAAUCUAGAGAAGUGUUUUCCGCGCUGGACCAUGUACAAGUUUCCUGGAACGGAACGUCAUAGAGGGUGAGAAUCCCGUCCUUGACAUGGACUACCAGUGCUCUGUGAUGCGCUCUCAACGAGUCGAGUUGUUUGGGAUUGCAGCUCAAAAUGGGAGGUAAAUUCCUUCUAAAGCUAAAUAUUGGCGAGAGACCGAUAGCGAACAAGUACCGUGAGGGAAAGAUGAAAAGCACUUUGGAAAGAGAGUUAAACAGUACGUGAAAUUGUUAAAAGGGAAACGAUUGAAGUCAGUCGCGUUUGCUUGGACUCAGCCUUACCUCGGUUUGGUGCAUUUCCUUGUAGACGGGCCAGCGUCAAUGUUGUUCGUUGGAAAAGGGUUGAAGGAAUGUGGCUCUUUCGGGAGUGUUAUAGCCUUUGAUCGUAUACAGCGCGUGAUAUUGAGUGGUACAGCAUGCUUCGGCGGUGCUUGUGCUGGCAUAAUGGCUUUAAACGACCCGUCUUGAAACACGG